AUGGAGUAGUCUUUUCAUCUGGUUUCAAUAUCCACAGAUGUGAAAAAUAUAUAGACAAAACGUUUUACAUCUAGCCACAAUAUCCCCAGAUGCAAAGCUAAACGCGGUGGCAAUCCUGUAAUUAUGGUAAAAAUUGUCUAAAAUAAUUUCACAUAUGACCAUAAUAUCCCCGGAUGUAAAAAGACUUCAAGUGAUUAAUAAUUGGUCUCACAGCAACAUCUCUCACACGAUCUCCUUCAUCUCUCACUGCUCACUCGAACCCUAGCGACCGGCCUCAUCUCUCACGAUCGAUCUCAUCUUCUCUCUCAGAUCUCACUCGAACUCGGCGGCCUCAUCUCUCUCACGAUCGAUCUCGUCUUCUCUCUCACUGAUCUCACGUACUCGCUCAUCUCUGUCGUCUCUCUGUCUCACUGAAACAUGAAUUGAUGGCUGAAACGGAAAUUCCAAAACCCAGUUAAACACAAAUUGAAGGCUGAAACACAUCUCUGUCAUCUCUAGCUGAAACCUAGAGAAAAGGUUUAAUUGGUAGUGCAUUUGCAUCGAAGGGUUGAUUUGGUUAGGUCAAGAUGUUCACUGAAGGACUUGACAAAAACCCAUUUAGAUGGGUCAGAGAGAAUGUGAUGAUUUUGAGUUGAAUUCUGCCUAAAAAAACUACAUUUAGUAUCAAUGGUUCUCUUCCAAAAAGUAAGGCUUAUAUGUUACCAGGGGAUACUUCUAUGUGCAAAGUUCUGCAGAAAAGGAUGAAUUUUCAGCCGUUAUAAUAAAAUCAUUGGUAACCUUAGAGGAUGGGGCUUAUCAGAUUUUUCAGGAGGCAGGACAAAGUCUUUCAAAGGCCAGAUUAUAGGUCUCAUUUACGCAACUCAGUACCUACGAGUCCCUCUUAUACUUUUUAACUCCGUCUUCAUUAUUGUAAAGUUCGUUUCUGGGUGAUGUCUAGCAAGGUGCUGGAGGUUUACAUCGCAUGAUUAUGAUGUUGCCGAUGAUGAAGCUUAGGAGCUAGCUAGGUUAAUUUGUGUGAUGUUACAAUGGAUUCACAUUAAUUAGGAUGUUUUGAAUUGUAAUGACUUGUAUUUUGCUCGAAUGUUAUAACAUUUUGGAUUGUUGGUAUUUUGCUUGAAUUGUAAGACUUGGUAUUUUAUUUGAAUUGUAAUGACUUGGUUGAAUG